AGAGUUUGAUUAUGGCUCAGAUUGAACGCUGGCGGCAGGCCUAACACAUGCAAGUCGAACGGUAGCACAGAGAGCUUGCUCUUGGGUGACGAGUGGCGGACGGGUGAGUAAUGUCUGGGAAACUGCCCGAUGGAGGGGGAUAACUACUGGAAACGGUAGCUAAUACCGCAUAACGUCUUCGGACCAAAGUGGGGGACCUUCGGGCCUCACACCAUCGGAUGUGCCCAGAUGGGAUUAGCUAGUAGGUGGGGUAACGGCUCACCUAGGCGACGAUCCCUAGCUGGUCUGAGAGGAUGACCAGCCACACUGGAACUGAGACACGGUCCAGACUCCUACGGGAGGCAGCAGUGGGGAAUAUUGCACAAUGGGCGCAAGCCUGAUGCAGCCAUGCCGCGUGUAUGAAGAAGGCCUUCGGGUUGUAAAGUACUUUCAGCGGGGAGGAAGGCGAUAAGGUUAAUAACCUUGUCGAUUGACGUUACCCGCAGAAGAAGCACCGGCUAACUCCGUGCCAGCAGCCGCGGUAAUACGGAGCGUGCAAGCGUUAAUCGGAAUUACUGGGCGUAAAGCGCACGCAGGCGGUCUGUCAAGUCGGAUGUGAAAUCCCCGGGCUCAACCUGGGAACUGCAUUCGAAACUGGCAGGCUAGAGUCUUGUAGAGGGGGGUAGAAUUCCAGGUGUAGCGGUGAAAUGCGUAGAGAUCUGGAGGAAUACCGGUGGCGAAGGCGGCCCCCUGGACAAAGACUGACGCUCAGGUGCGAAAGCGUGGGGAGCAAACAGGAUUAGAUACCCUGGUAGUCCACGCCGUAAACGAUGUCGACUUGGAGGUUGUGCCCUUGAGGCGUGGCUUCCGGAGCUAACGCGUUAAGUCGACCGCCUGGGGAGUACGGCCGCAAGGUUAAAACUCAAAUGAAUUGACGGGGGCCCGCACAAGCGGUGGAGCAUGUGGUUUAAUUCGAUGCAACGCGAAGAACCUUGCCUGGCCUUGACAUCCACGGAAUUUGGCAGAGAUGCCUUAGUGCCUUCGGGAACCGUGAGACAGGUGCUGCAUGGCUGUCGUCAGCUCGUGUUGUGAAAUGUUGGGUUAAGUCCCGCAACGAGCGCAACCCUUAUCCUUUGUUGCCAGCGAGUAAUGUCGGGAACUCAAAGGAGACUGCCGGUGAUAAACCGGAGGAAGGUGGGGAUGACGUCAAGUCAUCAUGGCCCUUACGGCCAGGGCUACACACGUGCUACAAUGGCGCAUACAAAGAGAAGCGACCUCGCGAGAGCAAGCGGACCUCAUAAAGUGCGUCGUAGUCCGGAUCGGAGUCUGCAACUCGACUCCGUGAAGUCGGAAUCGCUAGUAAUCGUAGAUCAGAAUGCUACGGUGAAUACGUUCCCGGGCCUUGUACACACCGCCCGUCACACCAUGGGAGUGGGUUGCAAAAGAAGUAGGUAGCUUAACCUUCGGGAGGGCGCUUACCACUUUGUGAUUCAUGACUGGGGUGAAGUCGUAACAAGGUAACCGUAAGCUUCACAA
rnacentral:rRNA from 1 species